rnacentral:rRNA from 1 species
CCUACGUGAUGCUGCAGUGGGGAAUAUUGGACAAUGGGCGAAAGCCUGAUCCAGCCAUGCCGCGUGUGUGAAGAAGGCCUUCGGGUUGUAAAGCACUUUCAGUGGGGAAGAAAGCCUUGGGGCUAAUACCCUCGAGGAAGGACAUCACCCACAGAAGAAGCACCGGCUAACUCCGUGCCAGCAGCCGCGGUAAUACGGAGGGUGCGAGCGUUAAUCGGAAUUACUGGGCGUAAAGCGCGCGUAGGCGGUCUGAUAAGCCGGUUGUGAAAGCCCCGGGCUCAACCUGGGAACGGCAUCCGGAACUGUCAGGCUAGAGUGCAGGAGAGGAAGGUAGAAUUCCCGGUGUAGCGGUGAAAUGCGUAGAGAUCGGGAGGAAUACCAGUGGCGAAGGCGGCCUUCUGGACUGACACUGACGCUGAGGUGCGAAAGCGUGGGUAGCAAACAGGAUUAGAUACCCUAGUAGUC